GGAUUCACAAUGCCAUAGCAUGCAUUGCAGAGGAGCUUGAAGUAGAGAAGAAAUUAAGAAGACAGACAGAGAGGUUGAAUAAGAAGCUUGGAAAAGAAUUGGCAGAUACAAAGGCAUCUUUGUCACAGGCUUUGAAAGAGCUUGAGAGUGAGAAGAGGGCAAAGGAGAUAUUGGAGCAAGUCUGCGACGAGUUGGCCAGAGGCAUUGGAGAAGACAGAGCUGAGGUCGAAGAAUUGAAAAGAGAAUCUGCAAAAGUUAGGGAGGAGAUGGAAAAAGAAAGGGAAAU
rnacentral:misc_RNA from 1 species